UAUCUCUGUAGAGUCUGCAUAUCAAUAAGCGGAGGAAAAGAAACUAACUAGGAUUCCCUCAGUAACGGCGAGUGAAGCGGGAAGAGCUCAAAUUUGAAAUCUUCAAGGUUCUACCUUGACGAAUUGUAGUUUAAAGAAGUGUUUUCUGUUGGAGUUUUGGUAAAAGUUCUUUGGAAUAGGACAUCAUAGAGGGUGAGAAUCCCGUAUUUGACCAUUAUUUCCAGCUUUGUGAUACACUUUCAAAGAGUCGGAUUGUUUGGGAAUGCAGUCCAAAAUGGGUGGUAAAUUUCAUCUAAAGCUAAAUAUUGGCGAGAGACCGAUAGCGAACAAGUACCGUGAGGGAAAGAUGAAAAGAACUUUGAAAAGAGAGUUAAACAGUACGUGAAAUUGUCAAAAGGGAAGCGUUUGACACCAGUGUUGUUUUCUCGAAAAUCAAUUAAAAAAAGUUGGAUUUUGUAUUGUUAAGACCUUAUCAGCUUACUGUACUCUUUUCUUGCCUUUUUUAAUGCACUUUUCGUUUAACAAGUCAACAUCAAUUUCUUUUGUUGUAAAAGAGUCAUUGGAAGGUGGCUUUCACUUCGGUGAAAGUGUUUAUAGCCUUUGGCUUCUGCAAUCGGAGAGAUUGAGGUCUGCAGCGUAGAUCCUUCGGGGUUAGAUACGUAGAUGCUAAGUUAUAGUUUUUUAUAGACAACUUGUUGACUAUAAUUAAUCAUGUAGCUUACUCGUUUGCGCUAUUUUACCUACGCUUAGGAUGUUGAAGUCAUCGUAUCGCGC
rnacentral:rRNA from 1 species